rnacentral:rRNA from 1 species
CGGAGGGUGCAAGCGUUAUCCGGAUUCACUGGGUUUAAAGGGUGCGUAGGUGGUUUUGUAAGUCAGUGGUGAAAGCCCGGAGCUCAACUCCGGAACUGCCAUUGAUACUGCUUAACUUGAAUCAACUUGAGGUGGAUGGAAUAUUACAUGUAGCGGUGAAAUGCUUAGAUAUGUAAUAGAACACCGAUUGCGAAGGCAGUUCACUAAGGUUGUAUUGACACUGAGGCACGAAAGCGUGGGGGAUCAAACAGGAUU